GCUGGGCAUGGUGGCGAGUGCCUGUAAUCCCAGCUACUUGGGAGGUUGAGGCAGGAGAAUAGCUUGAACUCAGGAGGCAGAGGCUGCAGUGAGCUGAGAUCACUGCACUCCAGCCUGGGUGAAAGAGCAAGAAUCUGUCUCUA
ensembl:misc_RNA Metazoa_SRP Metazoan signal recognition particle RNA